rnacentral:rRNA from 1 species
AACGAACGCUGGCGGCAUGCCUAACACAUGCAAGUCGAACGAGACCUUCGGGUCUAGUGGCGCACGGGUGCGUAACGCGUGGGAAUCUGCCCUUGGGUCCGGAAUAACUCAGAGAAAUUUGAGCUAAUACCGGAUGAUGACGUAAGUCCAAAGAUUUAUCGCCCAGGGAUGAGCCCGCGUAGGAUUAGCUAGUUGGUGAGGUAAAGGCUCACCAAGGCGACGAUCCUUAGCGGUCUGAGAGGAUGAUCAGCCACACUGGGACUGAGACACGGCCCAGACUCCUACGGGAGGCAGCAGUGGGGAAUAUUGGACAAUGGGCGAAAGCCUGAUCCAGCAAUGCCGCGUGAGUGAUGAAGGCCUUAGGGUUGUAAAGCUCUUUUACCCGGGAUGAUAAUGACAGUACCGGGAGAAUAAGCCCCGGCUAACUCCGUGCCAGCCGCCGCAGUAAU